rnacentral:tRNA from 1 species
GACUUAAAAUUCGUUGGCUUUAUAGAACGUGAG